AACGAACGCUGGCGGCAUGCCUAACACAUGCAAGUCGAACGAGACCUUCGGGUCUAGUGGCGCACGGGUGCGUAACGCGUGGGAAUCUGCCCUUCGGUUCGGAACAACAGUUAGAAAUGACUGCUAAUACCGGAUAAUGACGUAAGUCCAAAGAUUUAUCGCCGAAGGAUGAGCCCGCGUAAGAUUAGGUAGUUGGUGGGGUAAUGGCCUACCAAGCCGACGAUCUUUAGCUGGUCUGAGAGGAUGAUCAGCCACACUGGGACUGAGACACGGCCCAGACUCCUACGGGAGGCAGCAGUGGGGAAUAUUGGACAAUGGGCGAAAGCCUGAUCCAGCAAUGCCGCGUGAGUGAUGAAGGCCUUAGGGUUGUAAAGCUCUUUUACCAGGGAUGAUAAUGACAGUACCUGGAGAAUAAGCUCCGGCUAACUCCGUG
rnacentral:rRNA from 1 species